GAUGAACGCUGGCGGCGUGCCUAAUACAUGCAAGUCGAGCGAACGGACGAGAAGCUUGCUUCUCUGAUGUUAGCGGCGGACGGGUGAGUAACACGUGGAUAACCUCCCUAUAAGACUGGGAUAACUUCGGGAAACCGGAGCUAAUACCGGAUAAUAUUUUGAACCGCAUGGUUCAAAAGUGAAAGACGGUCUUGCUGUCACUUAUAGAUGGUUCCGCGCUGCAUUAGCUAGUUGGUAAGGUAACGGCUUACCAAGGCAACGAUGCAUAGCCGACCUGAGAGGGUGAUCGGCCACCCGGGAGCUGAGACACGGUCCAGACUACUAAGGGAGGCAGCAGUAGGGAAUCUUCCGCAAUGGGCGAAAGCCUGACGGAGCAACGCCGCGUGAGUGAUGAAGGUCUUCGGAUCGUAAAACUCUGUUAUUAGGGAAGAACAUAUGUGUAAGUAAAUGUGCACAUCUUGACGGUACCUAAUCAGAAAGCCACGGCUAACUACGUG
rnacentral:rRNA from 1 species